rnacentral:rRNA from 1 species
UACGUAGGGUCCGAGCGUUGUCCGGAAUUACUGGGCGUAAAGAGCUCGUAGGCGGCUUGUCGCGUCGAUUGUGAAAGCCCGGGGCUCAACCUCGGGUCUGCAGUCGAUACGAGCAAACUAGAGUGUUGCAGGGGGAGACUGGAAUUCCAGGUGUAGCGGUGAAAUGCGUAGAUAUCUGGAGGAACACCGGUGGCGAAGGCGGCAUCCUGGACCGGCAUUGACGCUGAGGCGCGAAAGCUAGGGGAGCAAACGGGG